GUGACUGCUUCACCAGUGGGGACUUUGGCAACAACUGCAAUUGUAAUAACUGUUGCAACAACUUGCAUCAUGAAAUUGAACGGUUUAAAGCCAUUAAGGCAUGUCUUGGUAGAAAUCCAGAAGCUUUCCAGCCCAAAAUUGGGAAGGGCCAGCUGGGCGACGUCAAGCCCCGGCACAGCAAAGGGCGCAGCUGCAGGAGGUCGGGCUGCCUGAAGAACUACUGCGAGUGCUGUGAGGUGGGUGCCGUCUCCCGAGCUGAGCCACUCACAAAACACACAGCUACACAUUUUGAGUAACUCUUGUGGUUAAAAAACUUCACGGUAAUUUAAAAAGAUAACUAUCA